AAAGGUCUACACUUGGGUCGCCUUGCAUAUUUAAAAUAAUCAAGCCUUGCUCCGUUCUCUCUCGAUCACUACUCCGCUGGGUCCGUUCAACUCCUGCGCCGCCUCCAUUCUCCAUUUGAAGCUGGUAAUGCCCACUUAAACAUUUCUGGGUAGCCACAUGUAUCACUCUGCAGAUUCAAAGCCUCCAGCUAUGGAUUCACCAGUGACCCUUUUGAUUAAGCACCUUCCCGAAGCUAUACCUCAUGACACCCUUUCUCGCCUCUUAUCUCAUUAUGGUGCUUCCUCUCUUCGUCCUUGCUCUACUGGAAGGUUGAGGAAUUGUGCUUUCGUAGAUUUCAAAAAUGAAAUCUUGGCAUCUCAAGCACAACGUCAACUACAUGGGUUGAGGCUUCUUGGUAAAGUAUUGUCAGCAGAGAAAGCUAAUAAUCCAAUGGAAAGUGGCAAAAAAGGCAGUGUAGCUCAGCUGGGAAAGGACUCUAAAGCGUCUGUGGUUAAAGAUACAACUGUAACCAAAGCUAUUGAUGGAGAUACAAAAUCAGGAUGUUUCCCUGUUGCUGAGCCAAUUGCUGAAAGACUUGGUGUUGACUAUCCAUUUCCACCUCACCUUGAGUAUGCUUAUCCUCCGCCGGAUGGAAAUAUAUUGACCAACAUUGUUAAUGCUCUGAUUGCUGUUCCCCGAUUUUACACUCAGGUUCUACACUUAAUGAACAAAAUGAACAUUCCAGCUCCAUUUCGUAUGGCAUUGCCAACACCGCCAUUACCUCCAGCCGUGCCAACACCACCACCUCCCCCUCCUCCGGUACCUUUGAAGCCUCAGUCUGCAGAUCUGUCAAGUGGUGAAUCAGAGAUGGAAUCUUCAGAAGAGGAGGUAGAGCCAACAACAGAAAAGCCUAAGAAGCGUGCCAGGCGUGAGACAAUUAUUGGCCCUGCCAUUGAUAAAGAUGUAGCUCAUGAGGAUGUUGGAGUAAAACCAGCCACCUUAGUCCCAAAAGAAAUACCAUUAAUCAAGAAGAAGAACCCUGUUUUGCAGAUCAAUAUUGCUCCCAAAGAAAUUAAGGAUGAGCGUAAAAAUGAUGACAGAAGCCAAGAUUUACAGGAGCCAGAAAAAGAUAGUCCAGAUCCACAUAAAUUCUUGACUCCAGAAGAAUUAGAGAGUGGAAAAUUGCCUCCUGAAGAAAUAUUAUCUCUUCCAAUGUUUAAGAACUAUACCACUGGAAAUCCAGCUCCUGUGUUGUAUAUUAAGAAUUUGGCAAAAGAUGUGGUUGGUGAAGAUUUUUUUUUAAUAUUCGGGUGCUUGUUUGGAAGUAUUGAGACUGCCAAGUCUUGCCUUCAUGUAAAACUGAUGCAGUUCUGAGUUUCAGGAAGGAAGGAUGAGAGGUCAAGCAUUUUUAACAUUCCCAUCAAUUGAGCUGGCUCAUCAGGGACUGAAUCUAGUGAAUGGAUAUGUAUUUAAAGGCAAGCCAAUGAUAAUCCAGUUUGGUCGGAAUCCUGGUGCCACUAAAGGAACUUGAUUCUGUGGGCACAGGAGGGAUGCACCACUAGUUUUGUGAUCUCAGAUCUGAGAAUCGCAUGAAGUCGUUUACUCAUCUCCCCUUGUCUAAAUGUAAAAGAAUAGAUGGCUAAUGCUGCACCUUUAUGUCGACCGGGAGAUGACUCCGCUUUGAACUACAUAGCUCCAGGGAGAUGACUCCGCUUUGAACUACAUAGCUCCAGACGACAUUUUGGAAUGUUUGUGAUAUAGCAUUGAUCUUGAUGCUGCCAUUUACAUUUCCCAUGGAAGGGCGAUUCUGGGUUGUAAAAAGUUUACUUGUAUGAUGAAUGAUGUUAAGUUCCGCAAGAUAGGUUUGUAAUUUGGAUUAAGGUUACUAUAUUUAAGCACUGAUGGUAUUGCUUGUUGCUAUAGAAUCCAUUCUACAAAGGAUAAGCCAAGUAGAAUUGUUGUUUCUAUAAGCCAUCGUUAAUUCGUUACUGGUACAGGAGACAACUGAGGAAACACUCGAUAGAUUCUAGAUUCUGCACUUUGUGUGAGGAUCAUGUGGUUGGUUAAAUUUAGCAUACAAAACAUGAUGCUUAAAUUGUAGAUUUAGGGAUAUAGAGCUGCCUCUUUAAAUCUUUGCUUCUUAUAGAUGGAUAAAUGGACCCAUAACAUUGUGGGAAAAGCAGUGACCAGAAUAUAUUGAACCAAAAUUGGGGAAUAGUUUAGUCUUUGAUGAAUUCAGUUCUUCAUUUCCCCCUGAUAUCUUGUCUCCCUCUAAAUAGCAUUGAUUUCUUGAUGUUUUUUAUUGUUGAAAUGUUUAUAAUGUCACAUAUCACAA